AUAUCUAGAACUAACUUAUCAUGAUAUUGCCAAUACAUGUAAUUCUAUUCUUGUGUAAAAUACUAUAAUUAUCCACACACGUAUUUUCGGGGGCAAUUGGAAGCAGCCUCUCUACCCAAGGGUAGGGGUAAGGUCUGCGUACAUACCACCCUCCCCAGACCCCACUAAGUGGGAUUAUACUGGGUUGUUGUUGUAUUUUCGGGGGCAAUGUGGUACGGAAGCAUCUAGAAAAUGUCUGAACCUUGCUCAUGAACAGGGUUAAUUAUUUUGAGAGCUGGGUGCUGACUCUAGUUCUUUGAGCUGUAGCAUAAGUUUGUUGCUUUAAGGUUUUUGGUACUCUUAUGAAUCAUCUAUACAUUUUUUGUACAGAGCUUUUCAGUUACUCUUUACUAUCUGCAUGUUGCUGGGUUCUUAUGUUUGUAUAUCUUUAGUUUCUAGAGCAGCAGCAACAGUAUUUGAGUUGUGAUGUGUCCAUGAAAUAGAAGACUAUAUUGCAACAGUUGUAAGUCUCUCCUAUCACUUGGUUUUUGACUGCUUCUGUUGUGCUCAGGAAUAUAUGCAAAUUUGUCUGGUAGACGUGAAGCUCUAAUGUCAAAAGGAUGCUUCUAUAUAAUAUAUGUUAUUAUUCUGAUCUCCAUUAUUUUCCUGGGUAAUGGUAUACAUCAGAAACCUUCUAUGCUACCAGCAUUCCUUGCAUAGUGUGGGCAACACUUGAUUUAUACUGAAAUUCAUUAUUUGUCAAGUGAACUUGUAUUUGUGUUCGUGAAACAUUAAGAAAUCACAUUUUUGAAAAGGCGAGCUUGCAAAACCCAUAACUAGGGUCUGCAUCAUCAAGACUUUGGUCCUCGUGAGAAACUUCUACCAUUCAGGGCGUCAUUUCCAUGAGACUUUAACCAGUCAUAUUCUGUUGGGGAUGUUUAAAGGCUAUGUCACCGAUACCAGCGAC
rnacentral:lncRNA from 1 species